rnacentral:tRNA from 1 species
GGGCCGGUCGUCUAGUCUGGUAGGAUACUCCCUUGGCAUGGGAGAGGUCGGGGGUCCAAAUCCCCCCCGGUCCA